UUCAUGCGGAUAACAACAGUGCGACUCCUGACCAAGUUCUUGGGGCAGCUGGAUGGAUACGCGGUAAACCUACAUAAGGUUUUCAAAAGCAAAGGAGGUGCUUCUGGACAGAAUAUAUCACGCAUAAUGGCAAUUGCUGACAAGCGUGAUGACAUACACCUCGAACGAGACUGUGUCAUAAAGAGUCUGUGUGUGUAUCUCAAUGAGGACAUCACAACACUUGUGAAAGAAUUCAUGGACUGCAACCCUGAAGAAGCUGAGGGACGAAUUUCUGAGACUAUGGGGCUUUGUGAUCCGUAGAAGGUGCUGGUGCUGAGGAGAAACUAGGGGAUGUUGGAGUAGUGAUAGAGGGUGUGAUGCUGCUUCAACGCUUGAAAAUCUUUCCUUUGGAUUAGCGAUCUUGUUCGGACUGAUCUACGCUCUCAACUUAAGCUAUCCUCAGAGCCUCAUUCAUAUUUGAAUUCUUCCAGAAGGUACUGAUGAAUUUGGAUGACAACAAGCUGCCCUCAAAAGUUUAAGCUCUUAAAACCAAAAUUUUGAGUGAAAAUUGCAUUUUUGGAUUGUUUGGAUUUUUCCAACAACUGUAAGUACAUUUGAAAACUUGUGAACUUUUGGAUUUGUUAUACAAACUGAUAACAAUAAUGCACCUUGUAGCUCUGAUACUCUUGACACAAAAGUUGUUAGCUCUUGUGCUAUUGAGCCAGUAGGAAACUCAUUUUUUGCCCUAAAUGUUUAAACUUGUCUUGCCAAAAUUAUGGCAAGAUAUGUUAUGUACAGUUAUAUAUAAAUGAAAAGGAAAGUAACCUGUCCUAAAGAAUGUGUUUUAUUUUAAACGGUUGCCUUAAUUUGUUAAGUACCUUUAUUACUUGCUCAGAGUGGAUGUUACCUUUGACUUGUUGAGCAAUUGCAACACA